rnacentral:lncRNA from 1 species
AAAUUGGCAGGCGCAUCCAAAACAGCCAAAGCAGGUGGGGCUGCUUCUUCCAGCUGGGGUGCAUCAAGAACAACUGAACGAGGAACAGCUUCUUUUUCCAGUACAGGCGAGGCUAGAACAACUGAACCAGAUACAUCUUCAGGUCCAGGUGUAUCUAGAACAACUGAACCAGAUACAUCUUCAGGUUCAGGUGUAUCUAGAACAACUGCUAUAUCUUUCACUUCACAACUUUCUUCCUGAUUUUCUAUGGAUGCAGUCAAUUUCAGUUCCCCGUUGCUACUCUCUUCUUGCUUUCCAACCAUCUCAAUCAAAUUGUCCCCCAGAUGCUCACUGAUACUG